rnacentral:lncRNA from 1 species
UUAGAGCCAGACCCAUGGCGUUAGAGCCAGUCCCAUGGCGUUAGAGCCAGACCCAUGGCGUUAGAGCCAGUCCCAUGGUGGUAGAGCCAGACCCAUGGUGUUAGAGCCAGACCCAUGGUGUUAGAGCCAAUCCCAUGGUGUUAGAGCCAGACCCAUGAUGUUAGAGCCAGUCCCAUGGUGUUAGAGCCAAUCACCAUGGUGUUAGAGCCAGACCCAUGGUGUUAGAGCCAGACCCAUGGUGUUAGAGCCAGACCCAUGGUGUUAGAGCCAGUCCAAUGGUGUUAGAGCCAGAACCAUGGUGUUAGAGCCAGUCCCAUGGUGUUAGAGCCAGACCCAUGGUGUUAGAGCCAGUCCCAUGGUGUUAGAGCCAGACCCAUGGUGUUAGAGCCAGACCCAUGGUGUUAGAGCCAGUCCCAUGGUGUUAGAGCCAAUCACCAUGGUGUUAGAGCCAGACCCAUGGUGUUAGAGCCAGACCCAUGGUGUUAGAGCCAGUCCCAUGGUGUUAGAGCCAGUCCCAUGGUGUUAGAGCCAGACCCAUGGUGUUAGAGCCAGACCCAUGGUGUUAGAGCCAGACCCAUGGUGUUAGAGCCAGACCCAUGGUCUUAGAGCCAGACCCAUGGUGUUAGAGCCAGAAACAUGGUCUUAAGAGACAGACACAUGGUGUUAGAGACAGUAAAUUGCAACUUAUUUCCUUUCUUUCUUUUUUUAAACAUGUACAUAUUCCUUAUAUUCAAAUGUAUUUAUCAUGUCUAUCAGGCUUUACAAAUGUUUACUUCAUACUGGCACUGCCCAGUUUCAAUGUCAUGACUGACAUUUUUUGUUGCUUGUUGUAAUGGUUCAUUUUUUUCUCUACUUUUUAUUUUCUCUAAUGUUUUGUAAAAAUGGCCACCGUGGUUUGUUGUGAAACGUUUGUAUGUCGUCUCAGAAGGUUCCACACUAAGGACACACACACACAGGAAGAUGGAAAUGAAAAGCCCCAAGACAAGCCUGUCAGCAUGUCACAUCUAGCCACCAGGCUACUGUCAGUCACCUGAGUCCUGCUUUCAGCUCUACAUUUCAAUAAAUACACUGUAUUCAC